GACACUUGACAAUUAUGCAGUCGCGACAUACUUGGCGAUACACCAUUCAUUUUGUUGAAGUCACUUGAAGUGGGAUGCGAGGAAAGCACCAGUAAAAGAAUUCAGACAACAGAGGAGUCCGAUGCAACAUCAAGUCAGUUCAGAUUCCAUCCCUGAUGCCUGAACCUUACCC